GUGUUUUUGAUGCUUUUUUUUCAAAUGUAAUAUUGCAUUUUUUUUCAUUAACUGGAUGAAAUGAAUAUAUUUUUUAUUUUAUUUUAUUUUAUUUUAUUUUAUAAUUUAGUUUUGUUUUGUUCUGGGGGUUUUGUUGCUUUUUCAACUCGGGUAUUCCAUUUUUUAGGUGUUUUAAAAUGUUUAUUUAUUUUUAUUUUUUAUUUUAUUUAUAGUCUUUGUUGAUUUGUUUUCAAUUAUAUUUGUGUUAAUGUUGACUAGUUGUAUUACAUGACUCUCACAUGACUUCAGUUUCUAUUUUUCUUUAUAGAUUUAAAACUUUUUCUUUUUGUGUCUGGAUUAAUCAACUUAUAUAAUAUAUAUAUAUAUAUAUUAUUUUUUACAUAAUGGUAUUUUGAUGUGUUUUUUGGUACUUUAUUUUAACUUUUGUAACGUUUCAUUUAUUUUAUUUUAAUAUUUAUCUAUUUUUGCUUGUGCUGUUUUGGGUGCUUUGUUUUCAAUUUACUAUUUAAUUUUUUUCCAUAACUGGAUGAACCGACUUGUAAUAUAUUUAACUUGUGUUUUGUUUUCAGUUGUAUCUGUAAUUAUGUUGGUUAGUUGUGGAUCACGUGACUUAAGUUUCUCUUGUUCUAUACAGGUAAAUGAUGGCUGAUGCAAUAAUUUUUAAUCAUAUAUGUUUAAUCAUAUAGUAUAUGUUUGCCACUUUUUCCACAGCUUGGGAUAGUCACUAGUGAAGAGCUUGGCACUGCGAUGAAUGUGAACGCUGACAGAUUCCUCCAGUCUCAUAGUCCAGUUCUGAUCAGAGGUCUGGCUCGUCGCCUAACAGCUUGCAGGACCCCAGAAGCGCACACAUAUGGGACGGAUAAAGAGGGGGUUUCUUGUGGUGUGUGCUGAUGUUGACACCUCUGAUGUCUGCUGGUGUAAAGUUGCUGCUGAACAGCAGAUCUUCAUGCUCUUCUCCAGACCCGACCCUCCUCCUCCUCCUCCUGCUCUUCCUGUAGGCCUCGCAGGCCGUGUCCUGCUGUCCUGUAUCUGAUCGGCCUGUUUGGUCACGGAUGAGUGAGCUGCCCGCUCUUCUGCACUUUCUGGUUGCCGGUUGUUUUUGAUGCCCUCGGGGCGCCAUAGCAGUGAGACAAUAUAAACUAAGAGGACAGGAGAAAAUCAAGUCCUUUUGCAUGCUUUAGAAGUGUUUUUAUGCAUGAUGUGAGGCAGCAGCAGCAAAUACAGUACAUCAAUGUUAAAUUAAUAAGAAUCAGUAUUUUUCUAACAAGUAAUAUAGUUGACUAUUUCUCAUGAUCUGUCUGUGAGAUACAAUUGAUACAAUUAUAGCAGUUGUUCACUGCAUUUCACCGUUCUAUAUGAUUCUCUUUGCCCACAUACAGCAAUAUAUUUAAUAAUACAUGUAUUGGAAACUGUGCCAGAAAUUCUUGUUCACAAAUUCUGAUUCAUGUAUUUAUAAUAGUUCAUCUUGCACAUGACGUGAUGCAUUCCGCAAGACUUUCCCCGUUGGCAAUUUGAAUUUGGUCCAAAUAAAAGACGUCUUAUUUUCA
ensembl:lncRNA